GACGAACGCUGGCGGCGUGCUUAACACAUGCAAGUCGAACGGUGAAGCGCCUUCCUUUUUGGUGGGUGUGGAUGAGUGGCGAACGGGUGAGUAACACGUGAGUAACCUGCCCCCUUCUUCUGGAUAACCGCAUGAAAGUGUGGCUAAUACGGGAUAUUCUGGGUCUGUCGCAUGAUGGGUCUGGGAAAGAUAUUGUUUCGGUGGGGGAUGGGCUCGCGGCCUAUCAGCUUGUUGGUGGGGUGAUGGCCUACCGAGGCGGUGACGGGUAGCCGGCCUGAGAGGGUGGACGGUCACACUGGGACUGAGACACGGCCCAGACUCCUACGGGAGGCAGCAGUGGGGAAUAUUGCACAAUGGGCGCAAGCCUGAUGCAGCGACGCCGCGUGAGGGAUGGAGGCCUUCGGGUUGUGAACCUCUUUCGCCAGUGAAGCAGGCCUGCCUCGUUUGUGGGUGGGUUGACAGUAGCUGGAUAAGAAGCGCCGGCUAACUACGUG
rnacentral:rRNA from 1 species